rnacentral:rRNA from 1 species
UCGGGAAUUUUGGGCAAUGGGCGAAAGCCUGACCCAGCAACGCCGCGUGAAGGAUGAAAUCCCUCGGGAUGUAAACUUCGCAAGAACGGGAAGAAUAAGUAAGAGUUAACAUCUCUUAUGAUGACGGUACUGUUUGUAAGCUCCGGCUAACUCCGUGCCAGCAGCCGCGGUAAUACGGGGGGAGCAAGCGUUGUUCGGAUUUACUGGGCGUAAAGGGCGCGUAGGCGGCCACCGCAAGUCGACUGUGAAAUCUCCGGGCUUAACUCGGAAAGGUCAGCCGAUACUGCGGGGCUAGAGUGCAGAAGGGGCAACUGGAAUUCUCGGUGUAGCGGUGAAAUGCGUAGAUAUCGAGAGGACACCUGCGGCGAAGGCGGGUUGCUGGGCUGACACUGACGCUGGAGGCGCGAAAGCUAGGGGAGCGAACGGGAUUAGAUACCCCGGUAGUCCUAGCCUUAAACGAUGAAUGCUUGGUGUCGUGGGGUUUUAUACGGUCCCCGGGUGCCGUCGC